rnacentral:tRNA from 1 species
AAUAAAGUAAGCUAAAUUAAGCUGUUGGGUUCAUACCUCAAAAAUAGAUUUUGAAUUUCUCUUUAUUAUA